rnacentral:rRNA from 1 species
CCUACGGGUUGCAGCAGUGGGGAAUAUUGGUCACUGGAGGAAACUCUGACCCAGCAACGCCGCGUGAAUGAUGAAGGUCCUCGGAUUGUUAAGUUCUUUUCUACGGGAAGAAGAAAGUGACGGUACCUUAGUAAUAAGCCUCGGCUAACUACGUGCAAGCAGCCGCGGUAAUACGUCGGAGGCGAGCGUUAUCCGGAAUGACUCGGUGUAAAGGGUGCGUAGGUUGUUUGGCAAGUUAGUAGCGUAACUCCAAGGCUCAACCUUGGAACUACUACUAAAACUGUUGGACUUGAGUGCAGGAGGAGUAACCGGAAUGCGUAGUGUAGCGGUGGAAUGCGUAGAUAUUAGGAGGAACACCAGUGGCGAAGGCGGGUUGCUAGACUGUAACUGACACUGAGGCACGAAAGCGUGGGGAGCGAACAGGAUUAGAUACCCGGGUAGUC